rnacentral:tRNA from 2 species
GGCGGCGUAGCUCAGCUGGUUAGAGCAGCCGGUUCAUACCCGGCAGGUCGUGGGUUCGAUUCCAACCGCCGCUACCA